CGCCGGGAACGCGCAGACUCCGCUGGUCCGGCUGCUGAACUUGGCGCAGGCGCCUUCCCCGCCUUCCCGAUCGCACGCAUGCGCUCUGUACCCGCCGCAUGCUUCCUGGUGGCGUGGUGGGUGGCGUGUUCGUCGGUUGCUUCUGUGGUACAGGUUCGCUGCCUCACGUAGCGCACAUCGCCUUGCACAGCGCACAACUGGUUCUACCGGUUUCUGGGACGAAAACUGUCUCAACCCCUUUUCUCUGGGUUGAUGCCAGAACUUUAGGAACAGCCUCAAAGGAUUCCAGUCUUGACCACCCACAAAAGUAGUCUUUUGUAAACACGAGCAUGUGUGGGGAUUUAAAAAAACAAAACAAAACUGGAUCCUGAGAUUCUCCGAUAUUAACUUUGGAGAUGAUAACAUUGUGUGGCAAUGUAAAAAGGUUGGCAGUCCCCUUAGGAUCAUCUCUAACACCUGUAGUAAGCCUUUUAGUUGCAUGUUUGGGAAGUUUGGGUGAUUUUGUACAGACUUGGGCGGUUUGCUCUUAAGUUUUGAAACGGUUUUGAUGAGUUGCGCGUUGUAAGGGUCUAUGAUUUGCUGAAGCAUGAUACCCCGGACUCAAAUAGUAUGUAAGCGCAAAGAGUGUUUUAUAUUGCAUGCUUGGGUCUCCUAUUACCAAGAUAGAGAGACAAUCAAAUAUGCUCGCAGUCCUGAUUUACAGCACGUUAGGGGAAUUCUAGGUUAGAUGGGCUUUGCCUUACUCUAUCGCUAGGCAUUCCAGAACCAUUACCUUGGCGUGUUGGCUGCAAACAAUUGCUGAGGAUUCCGGAGAUAGUUGGCCUUACCUUGCUCUCUUCUGAAACUACUGUGUCAGGGUGUGAGGGCUGAAACUGUUGUUGACCCAUUUUCCUUGCUUCAGGCCAGGUAUCAGGUCAGUUUCUGAUGGCAGGGCACUUUCUGGCUAGCUGCUUGAAGCCUGCAGAUUUUAGGCCUAAUCUGAACUGACAAUUUGAAGCCUGUCAUGGAGUUAACCUCUCUCAUCAAUGUCACAAUUACAAUCGUGAAUUUUCAGAAGGAUCAGAUCGGUUAAAGUGUGAAAUUUACAUAGGUAUUUUGUGGGAGUAUUUUUAAUAAGACUCUCAACUCUGUGUCAAAACAUCCCAUAAUAGAUUAAAAACCCCUUGGAGUCUAUUAACUUAGCCCACUAACUUUUACCAACCAAAUAGCCCAGAUAGUGUCUUGGGCCUGUAGAUAAGCUUCUUUCUCCCUUCCCGAACCUGCCUGUCUAAUGUACCCACCAAUAUAUUUUGGACUUGCCUUGAUUUAUGCUUUUUUUUUGUUCUGUAAAAUGAUUUUUAAAAACUUUAUGAAACUGUUUCCACCUGGGAAUCUGAAUUGAAGGUAACCUAUAUAUCUGUGUUCUGUGGCCAUUCAGGGUGAUUCCAGGAUAAACUGUCUCUUUUUUCCUUUAUGAUGAGAGCUAUAGUUUUUGCAUAGACAACACAAAGGUUGGUUCUGGAUUUAGAAAACUGGGCAAAACUGACAAAUUAAGGUUACUAAAAUAACCAUAAAGUGAACUUCAAAUUCAAUAUCUUAAUACUAUCAGUGUGCCACUAACUGGGCUUCACGUCGCUAGUAGGACAUACAGACAAAGACAGCGUGCAUCUCCAAAGGAAAAUUCUGUAUCCUUUGCCUUGUAGAUUGUGAGAAUGAGAGUCAUUACCUGGGAAUUAGUCACACUGUGUGUUGAGCUUCAGGGAUCUCCACACAAAUAACUCAGACUCCUGUCUCAGUUAAGCAAGAAUAGUUUAUUGAAUGCACACCCCAAGACCGAUUGAUCAGGGUCGAAGCCCAGGCUCUGGAACUAAGACUGGACCUUGAACCUAUAAGGGCCAGCUUAUAAAGGAAAACCACAGUGACCACACACACAGCCUGGCAGGGAGGUUGGCUCUGAGUCAAGCUAGUCUGCCUAGCUAGACAGAGCAGUUCUAACUGACUGACUUACAUUCUGAUUGGUCUUAAGUGGACCUUAUGGUUGUGGGAUUUCUUAAGCUUAACACAUCUAAGAAAAUACAGAAAGUAACAUGGUGUGUGGGCAGCAUGACCCUGCUGUGAGCCAAGAUAUUUUUCUGCCUCACUAACUGGCAGGCGUGGAACAAAAUGUCUACAGCUCUGCUGGGAGAGAAGGCUUCAACAAUGUACCGGAGACAGAUUAUCUCACAUUCAUGGGCUAGAAGUGACCUGCUUUUAAUUAAUAUUUAGUGUUUACAAUCCUUUAAAAAAAUUAAAUGAACUGCUGAUUCUUCCAGAGGUAGAUCAUGCAUCCACCGGCAAGGGAAUUGAAAGGAUGAAAGAAAGAAGAACCCAUGAAAUAGCCCAAAACCAGCUACAUGGCCGCCUCUCACAGAACUCUCCGAAUCAGUGUUUACUAUCCGCCAUGUGAGGAGAGAUCAAAAGCCAAAUGCUAGAGUUUGAGAAGACUGCCUGGACUCCUUUCCAAGACUGGGCUUGGCAGCGUGCAGGGGUGUCUAGAAUACAACAGAAAGGAUGUUUUCCUGCUUCUUAAUGAAAUCGAGAUUUUUAGAGCAUUCGCCAUACUUAUUAUUCAAAAAUGUCAAUCUCCUUCUUUUCUUUUUUCCCCUCUUCUGUUUUCCUGAAAUGGUUUUGCUGUGUAGCUCAGUCAGGUCUUGGACUUUAGAUCUUCUUGUCCCUGUUCCCAACACAUAGAAUUCCAGGCAGGUCCGCCACGCUGCAUGACCGUGGCUGUGGAAGUGUGGCUCCUCCAUGGUGUAAGUGUAUCCUGAGGAUGGGUUCUCUUUAAACAAUGUAGGGAGCAGGUGCCCUAAGUGCCUUAUAUCACAGAGAGCAAGGAUAGGCUUGCAAUAUCACAGCUCCUUACUAUCCCAACUAAUUGAUUUCUCACAAAUAUCACACACAUACAUACCUUUCAUAUAUGUGUGUGUGUAUCUCUCUCUAUAUAUAUAUGUAUAUAUAUAUAUUUCACAUCAUACACACACGCCUUUUCCUUUACAUCCAGUUUAAUUUCACUCUAUCCUCUUCCAACCUGUUUCAACAUUGAUAUCUACCAUCUUAUCUCUCUCUAUCUUUGCUACAGAUUGCACUACCUGGAGUUAUCUGCUGUCUACACCUAUAUAAUUUUAUCUGCCUCCUAUUACUGAAAACCCCCGUAUGCCAUCAUCUUGAUGGACCCCAGAUAAGCCACGUCUCUCUGGCCUUCCAUUUCCCUAACUCCACGCUCUGCAUCAAUACCUCAUUGCUUUGCCACCUUCAACCCAACACUGUCCUGUGCUGAGUCACUGCUCUCACACACCGUCCAGUGCAGGCUGCUGCCCAUGGCUUUGUCAUCUCGGUUCCUUCGUUUUCCCACACAGCAUCAGCUCAUGGUUCUGUAAGAAAAACAUUGUUCUAUCUCUAUAAAAGGUGUUCAGUUUCAGCAAAAAGUCAUAUUUUCUGAGCUCUCCUCUUUCCGUUUAGCCAACUGAGGCAGUUAGUGAAGUCGAGCUCUUGCCAAUGGCAUGACAUAGAGUUACCCGCUAGGGCAGGGACAAGAGAUGGCAGCCAUCAUGGUCCUGUGUGCUUGCUGGCCAGGUUUGGGCCCCAGCACACCCAUUUUACAAAUAGAAUUGCCUUGGCAAGCCACUUUUACUUUGUUUGAUUUGUUCAUGUGUUGGUUCCUGUGACUCAAGAUUAGUGUUGGCUUUUAGCAGUCUGAAGAAAAUGUCAGUUAGCUGUUCCCCCUCAAGCUAGAGCACCUUCUGGGUUUAUCUGCAUUCUCUCUCCUAAUCAAUUGCCAAUAAAAAACAAACAAAACAACUUCUUCGAGCUUAUUCCUGAUGAUGGUGUUAUUAUUACACAUUCAUAGUUUCUGGUCCCCCCUAAUCAUCUGCCUUGCCUAGCAAGACUUCUAUGUGUUUUUCUGCUUUAUAACAAGGUGUGCCUUUACUCAUUUUGUAGCCUUUUACUCUUUCCUCAGAGAUGACCCAGGGGAGGAAAGGGGAAGGAAUAAACCCUCUCGCUACUCUACCCUAACUUUAUACCUUCUUGGUUUUAAAGCUACUUGUUUUGUCUGUCUUAGUUCUUUCUCCCAUUUCUGUGUUAAAAAAAUGUAUCCAUUUCCAUCCAGAGGACAGACUGUCGGUGUUUGAUCAUCUAGUGUGUCGAGGCAUCAGGAACUAUAUACGACUAUCUUCUAUGGUACAAGGUCCUGUUUUCCCAGCAUAAUAUUUUGACUCCUCACCUACUUUGCAGCUUGACCAAGGAGUUCCUAUCUGCAGGCUCACCCAAAGAAAUGUAAUUGAAGAUAGAUGGCUCAGAACCUAUCUAAAUGGCAGGCUAUGACCCGGGACUCUGACUCCUUAUGAAGUGAGUCAGGGCUUCGUACUAAGUUCCUGGCCAUCAAGGGCAUAGUUGAAACUUUAUCUCAAAAUAAAUAAAUAAAUAAAACAAGCAAAAAUCAAUCCAUCAACAUUUUCUUAUCUUUAGAAGUUCCUGUGUGUGUGUUUCAUUGUACAUGUGUGGUAUAUGUACUUGUUAGUGCCUAUGUGUUUGCAGAGCCGGGUAGUGAAUGACUUUGGUCAGCCAUUUUUCACUAUUUUUUUUUUUUGAUACAGAGACACUCAUUAAACUUGAAAACUCCCUGAUUUGGCUAGACUGGCUGCCCAGUGAUCUUCAAGGCUUAUAGGCAUACACUAUCAUGUUUGACUGUUUAUAUAGGUCUUGUAGAUCUAUGCUUUCAUGGCUAACAAUUUACAAGCUGAGCAUCUCCUGAGCCCCUGCU
rnacentral:sRNA from 1 species